rnacentral:rRNA from 1 species
GACGAACGCUGGCGGCGUGCCUAACACAUGCAAGUCGAACGGAAGUUAGAGCUUCGGUUUUAACUUUAGUGGCGAACGGGUGAGUAACGCGUGAGGAACCUGCCUUUCAGUGGGGGACAACAGUUGGAAACGACUGCUAAUACCGCAUGACACUUUUGAGGGACAUCCCUUAAAAGUCAAAGCUUUAUGUGCUGAAAGAUGGCCUCGCGUCUGAUUAGCUAGUUGGUGAGGUAACGGCUCACCAAGGCGACGAUCAGUAGCCGGUCUGAGAGGAUGAACGGCCACAUUGGGACUGAGAUACGGCCCAGACUCCUACGGGAGGCAGCAGUGGGGAAUAUUGGGCAAUGGGGGAAACCCUGACCCAGCAACGCCGCGUGAAGGAAGAAGGCCUUCGGGUUGUAAACUUCUUUUACCAGGGACGAAGGACGUGACGGUAC